rnacentral:lncRNA from 1 species
CCAGAUCUUGUGAGCCAACCCAAACCUGGCUGGGCUCAGAGAUGGAUGAUAUGUUAUCCGGGAGCUGGGCCCUGUUCCUGUCUGAAUGGAUUCAGGAAAUGCAGGUGUACCAUUGACGAGGUUCCCGCUCAAGGUUAUGAGGCUGUAAUGAGAACACAUCCGAAUCCCCCCCAGGAGAGGCUGCCAAGAUCCUGGAGGAGGGGGAAAGAGUGUCUGGAGAAGGAGGUGGCUGUGACCGAGAUAAGCUCCAGCCUUCCACAGCUGUCAAUCAGGGAUUUAGAGGGACUUAGAGUCACAUUUUUCCCAUCUAAAAAGAGGAUUUCAGACUAUCUGCUCUCUGGGUUGCAUGAUAUGAAGAAUAAGUCAUAUGGUGGCCAGCAUUUAAAAGAAACUAUCCAUCAAGUCUAAACAAGAGUCUCCAAGUUACCAGCUGACUGCUUCUAGACAUCUUCAUCCCUCUCCUCUAUCCAGUCUCCAUCAAUGCCUCCUCCUCUCGGAAGCCUUCCUGAAGUCCAUCAGGCAGACAUGGGCACUUUUUAUAGGAAUGAAUUCUACUUGAGACCAAAGCCCUUGAUUUCUUCACUUGGCAUUCUCAGUGCCUGGCAAAGCGCCUGAUGCAAGGUCUGUGGCCCCUAUUCAGACAAAGUUGCUGCCUUGAAGAACAGACGCCGGGGAUAAAGUACAACUUUUCCAUCCACUGCACCAGCAAUAUGAUUCCGUGGAAAAGGCGACUGUGAAUUCAGUUAGAAUGGGUUGAAAUCCUGCCUCUUAGUAGCUCUAUGACCUUGUUCAUGCCACUUACCCUUCUGAGCAUCAUUUUUAUCACUAGAAAAGUAGAGAUAGUAACACUUAUCACAUAUUGUUGAAAGUAGGCAUUCAAUAAAUGUUACUUUCCUUCCCUCCAGGUAGUAAGCCAUGAGGGAAAAAGAAUUGAUAGGGAAACUUCCUAAACUGGGAAGAAAUUGGCCAGAUUUCCAACGAGGGAAGGUUUACUGUUGAAAUAAAUUGGUUGGGGAAAGGAACAGUAGAGGUAGGAAUCUUCAAAAAUUGGAAUCUAUAUCAAAUCACUCACUUUGACUCUACAGAUAUUUAUUGAACACCUACUAUGGGACAGACAUUCUUCUGAGUCCUGAGGCUAUGAGGAGGAAUAAGAGAGACAGUCCUGCUAUCAGGAGCUCCUGAGAGCUCACAAGCUAUCAGGAAAGCCAUUCAUUCAAGAUGUACAUACUUACGUAAUGAGCAUUUUGAAGAGUGCUGUGGAAGCAUAUAGGAAUACAGAG